rnacentral:tRNA from 1 species
UGUGAUGUGCCUGGACAAAAAGGGUGAUUUUGAUAGGGUCAAUUACGUGAUUUUCACCUUCACAG